AAAGUCGUAACAAGGUUUCCGUAGGUGAACCUGCGGAAGGAUCAUUACGCUCUGUGCCGUGCCUUUGGGUGACUACACCCAUUGGUUAUAGCCAGCAAACCCUUGUUCAUUAAUACCCUUUGUGAUUUCCUCGGUAGGGACGCCUGCCAGUGGAACCCCUUAAACUCUUCUGUAUGCAAGUAUUCAAUUAUUCAGAAUAAUCAAAUUAUUACAACUUUCAACAAUGGAUCUCUUGGUUCUG
rnacentral:misc_RNA from 1 species